UGAGGCAUAUAUGCACAUCCUUUGACAAGUAUAAGAUCACUAUUACAGUAUCAUUCAAUACAGACACAUAAACCUUGAUCCAGGUGCAAUCAGGCACUACAUUGACCUUCUCAAAGAUAUUUUACAACUCACCUUUUCAUUCUCCAAAAUGCAGAAGCCAGAAACUCAGGGAAACCAGCCUCCCCCAGGUUACCCAACUGAGAAUCCCCCCGCCAGAAGAAAGUUAUUUUUUAGCUCAAAGAAGAAAGGAGAGAGGGGCUUCAUUGAGGGAUGCCUCUUUGCUCUGUGUUGCUGCUGGCUUUGUGAAGAAUGCUGCUGAACUAUAUCUAUUGGCUAGAGAGCUAUAUUGACGUAUUAGAAACCACUGUUACAGUGUUACUGUUUCUUUCCUAGGUUGUUAGCAUUUGACUUUAGUGGUUUUCACCUAGCAUAUGUUGUAUUAUUACUAUCUUACCCUGUAAUCAUGUUGUAAUAUAUACCUAUCUAUUUUACUGAUAAUCUAUUCUCAAUAAAAGUAGAUUCCUUGGCUUUUCUUUUC